UGUGUCAUAUGCACUUUAGAUGAAAUACCUAAGUUAUUGUAAACAAAAAUGGUUAUAAACAUUGAAUGAAAUGUAUAUUUUAUACAAUUCAGCUAUGACUUAUGCAUUUAAAUUCAAUAUUAAAGAUGUCGUGGUCAAGGAUAAAUUUUAUUUAGUGAUGGAUAUUUCACAUUUGAAGUGAGAAUUACAGUUUGAAUCGCUCCCGAAAACGUCUUGAUCGGAACGGAAAGCUUUUGUGAAACUAAAAAGGGAGUGAAUGUAUAAUUCGUUAAAUCAGGACAGUUGAGUUUCAGUUUACUAGUAGGUGUAAAUCUCUUCUGAAUUAAGAAUAAGUUUGAAGAUAAAUUGAAGGAAUUAUCACAAUUGAUAGUGACAAUUUAAACUUGGUGAAUGUAGAAGCUGCCCUUGGGUGAAAACAUUGUAUCGGUACCUUCCUAAUUGGUAAA